GCCCUACUCUUCUGCCGUAAUUCCCGUCUUCCAGACCUUCCUAUCUAGGUUCAUGUCCUCGGUGAGCUGUAACUGUUCCAUGUCCCGCCUAAUCACCUCACCCCAGUACUUCUUCGGCCUACCCCUACCCCGCCUAAAACCAUCCAACGCUAGCCUCUCACACCUACGGACCGGGGCAUCCACGCCCCUCCUCUUCACGUGUCCGAACCAUCUCAAUCGUGCUUCCCGCAUCUUACACUCCACUGAAGUCAC
rnacentral:lncRNA from 1 species